UUAAGCGAUGGGGUGACGCAGGAAGGUAGUCCAGCCCAGGCGAUGGUUGUCCUGGGGUAAGCAUGUAGGGCGGAACGUAGGUAAAUCCGCGUUCUAUUCAGCCUGAGAUGUGAUGCCGAGCCGAUUGUGGUGAAGUGGAUGAUCCUAUGCUGCCGAGAAAAGCCUCUAGUGAGUGUUGUGGCGGCCCGUACCCUAAACCGACUCAGGUGGUCAGGUAGAGAAUACCAAGGCGAUCGGGUGAACUGUGGUUAAGGAACUCGGCAAAUUGCCCCCGUAACUUCGGGAGAAGGGGGACCUCUGCUGGUGAUGGGCUUUACGUUCUGAGCUGGUGGGGGUCGCAGUGGCCAGGGGGAAGCGACUGUUUACUAAAAACACAGGUCCGUGCGAAGUCGUAAGACGAUGUAUACGGACUGACGCCUGCCCGGUGCCGGAACGUUAAGGGGACCGCUUAGCCAACGCGAGUUGGCGAAGGUGAGAACUUAAGCGCCGGUAAACGGCGGUGGUAACUAUAACCAUCCUAAGGUAGCGAAAUUCCUUGUCGGGUAAGUUCCGACCUGCACGAAUGGCGUAACGACUUCCCCGCUGUCUCAACCACAGACCCGGCGAAAUUGCACUACGAGUAAAGAUGCUCGUUUCGCGCAGCAGGACGGAAAGACCCCGGGACCUUCACUACAGCUUGACAUUGGCGUUUGGAACGUCUUGUGUAGGAUAGGUGGGAGACUGGGAAGCUGUCACGCUAGUGAUGGUGGAGUCAUUGGUGAAAUACCACUCUGGUCGUUUUGAACGUCUAACUCUGGUCCGUGAUCCGGAUCGGGGACAGUGUCUGGUGGGUAGUUUAACUGGGGCGGUUGCCUCCUAAAGAGUAACGGAGGCGCCCAAAGGUUCCCUCAGCCUGGUUGGCAAUCAGGUGUUGAGUGUAAGUGCACAAGGGAGCUUGACUGUGAGACUGACAGGUCGAGCAGGAGCGAAAGCUGGACUAGUGAUCCGGCAUCGGCGUGUGGAAGCGGUGUCGCUCAACGGCUAAAAGGUACCCCGGGGAUAACAGGCUGAUCUUCCCCAAGAGUCCAUAUCGACGGGAUGGUUUGGCACCUCGAUGUCGGCUCGUCGCAUCCUGGGGCUGGAGUAGGUCCCAAGGGUUGGGCUGUUCGCCCAUUAAAGCGGUACGCGAGCUGGGUUUAGAACGUCGCGAGACAGUUCGGUCCCUAUCCGCUGCGCGCGCAGGAGACUUGAAGGGGGCUGUCCCUAGUACGAGAGGACCGGGACGGACGAACCUCUGGUGUGCCAGUUGUACCGCCAGGUGCACGGCUGGUUGGCUACGUUCGGAAGGGAUAACCGCUGAAAGCAUCUAAGCGGGAAGCUCGCCUUGAGAUGAGGUCUCCCACCCCGUGAGGGGGUAAGGCUCCCGGUAGAUCACCGGGUUGAUAGGCCGGAGGUGGAAGCACGGUAACGUGUGGAGCUGACCGGUACUAAUAGGCCGAGGACUUGACCAC
rnacentral:rRNA from 1 species